UGAGUACGAGCUGCUACGGCAGCGAAGUGGGUGAUGUCAAGCUUCCAAGAAAAGCCCUAUACCCGUUAAGGCAUGAUGGCCUGUACCCGAAACCGACACAGGUGGGGUGGUAGAGAAUACCGAGGGGCGCGAGAUAACUCUCUCUAAGGAACUCGGCAAAAUGGCCCCGUAACUUCGGGAGAAGGGGUGCCACCGCAAGGUGGUCGCAGUGAAGAGGCCCAGGCGACUGUUUACCUAAAACACAGGUCUCCGCUAAGUCGCAAGACGAUGUUUGGGGGCUGACGCCUGCCCAGUGCCGGAAGGUUAAGGAAGCUGGUCAGCGUAAGCGAAGCUAGCGACUGAAGCCCCGGUGAACGGCGGCCGUAACUAUAACGGUCCUAAGGUAGCGAAAUUCCUUGUCGGGUAAGUUCCGACCCGCACGAAAGGCGUAACGAUCUGGGCUCUGUCUCGGAGAGAGGCUCGGCGAAAUAGAAUUGUCUGUGAAGAUGCGGACUACGUGCGCCCGGACAGAAAGACCCUAUGAAGCUUUACUGUAGCUUGGUAUUGUGCCCGGGCUCUGAAUGCGCAGGAUAGGUGGGAGGCUUUGAUCCAUUGCUUGUGGGUGAUGGUGAGCCAACGGUGAGAUACCACUCUUUCAGAGCUAGGGUUCUAACGGUCACCCGUCAUCCGGGGACCGGACAGUAUCAGGUGGGCAGUUUGACUGGGGCGGUCGCCUCCUAAAAGGUAACGGAGGCGCGCAAAGGUUUGCUCAGGCUGGUUGGAAAUCAGCCGACGAGUGUAAAAGCAGAAGCAAGCUUGACUGUGAGACCUACAAGUCGAACAGGGACGAAAGUCGGCUUUAGUGAUCCGACGGUUCUGAGUGGAAGGGCCGUCGCUCAACGGAUAAAAGUUACUCUAGGAUAACAGGCUGAUCUCCCCCAAGAGUUCACAUCGACGGGGAGGUUUGGCACCUCGAUGUCGGCUCAUCGCAACCUGGGGCUGAAGUCGGUCCCAAGGGUUGGGCUGUUCGCCCAUUAAAGCGGUACGCGAGCUGGGUUCAGAACGUCGUGAGACAGUUCGGUCCAUAUCCGGUGCAUGCGCAGGAAUAUUGAGAGGAUUUCUCCCUAGUACGAGAGGACCGGGAGGAACGCACCUCUGGUGUGCCAGUUAUCGUGCCAACGGUAAACGCUGGGUAGCCAUGUGCGGAGAGGAUAACCGCUGAAAGCAUCUAAGUGGGAAGCCCACCUCAAGAUGAGUAUUCCCAUGGCGUUAGCCAGUAAGGUCACGGGCAGAACACCCGUUGAUAGGCUCUACGUGGAAGCCGGGUAACCGGUGAAGCGGAGGAGUACUAAUAGACCGAGGGCUU
rnacentral:rRNA from 1 species